AUGGCCGAGGGCAGUCGGGGCGGCCCUUCGUGGGGCGGGGUGGGCGACAAGCAGGACCUGGUUCCUCGGGUUGUUGGCUCCAACUUUCCAGAGUACGAGCUUCCCGAGCUCAACACGCGCGCUUUCCACGUGGGCGCUUUCGGGGAGCUAUGGCGCGGCCGGCUGCGCGGGGCCGGGGACUUGUCGCUGAGGGAACCCCCGGCGCCCGGCAGCCAGGGGGUCGCUGACUCCGAGCCCGAGGAUAUCGCGGUGGCCCGGGAUCUGGGCUGCAGUCUGGAGGCGGCGGCUGAACUGAGGGCGGUGUGCGGCAUUGAUAAACUGAAAUGCCUUGAGGAAGGUGAGGAUCCAGAAGUCAUCCCAGAGGAUACUGACUUGGUGACUUUGGGAGUUAGAAAGAGGUUCUUGGAACAUCGGGAAGAAACCAUCACCAUAGAUCGUGUCUGCAGACAAGAAACAUUUGCUUAUGAGAUGGAAUCACAUGCAGUAGGCAAAAAGCCUGAAAAUCCAGCAGACAUGAUUGAAGAAGGGGAGCUUAUCCUAUCUGUGAAUAUUUUGUACCCUAUUAUAUUUCAUAAGCACAAAGAACACAAACCAUACCAGACAAUGCUGGUAUUGGGCAGUCAAAAGCUCACAGAACUGAGAGAUUCAAUUUGCUGUGUCAGCGACCUGCAGAUUGGGGGAGAAUUCAGCAACACUCCUGACCAAGCCCCUGAGCACAUUAGCAAAGACCUAUAUAAAUCAGCCUUCUUUUAUUUCGAAGGAACAUUUUACAAUGAUAAAAGAUACCCAGAAUGCAGAGAUUUGAGCAGAACUAUCAUUGAAUGGUCAGAGUCCCAUGAUAGAGGCUAUGGAAAGUUUCAGACUGCUAGAAUGGAAGAUUUCACCUUCAAUGACCUGAAUAUUAAACUGGGCUUUCCCUACUUAUACUGUCACCAGGGAGACUGUGAACAUGUUAUUGUCAUUACAGACAUAAGGCUUGUGCAUCACGAUGACUGCUUGGAUAGAAAACUUUAUCCUCUUCUUACCAAGAAGCACUGGCUAUGGACCAGAAAAUGUUUUGUUUGUAAAAUGUACACGGCUCGAUGGGUAACGAACAAUGACAGUUUUGCACCAGAGGACCCAUGUUUCUUUUGCGACAUUUGCUUCCGAAUGCUCCAUUAUGAUUCAGAAGGCAACAAACUGGGGGAAUUCCUUGCUUAUCCUUAUGUUGAUCCUGGAACCUUUAACUAAGAAUGCUUCCCCAUACCCCUGGCCAAAACAAAGUCCAAUGUUUAGAAAUGUUAAAUUAUUUCAUUUAUAGUAUUUAUUUCAAAGUUUUUUUUUAUUUUAUGUGUUUUACUCAUUGUGAGUUGCUCAUCUUAUUGAGUUGUAGAAGUGCUUUAUAUAUUCUUAAUAUAUGUUUUGUCAGAUACACAGCUUCUGAUUCUGUUCUCCCAAUCCAUGGCUUGCCUAUUCAUUCUGUAUCCUGAGAACUUUUUGCUAAUGAUAGAAUGCAAUUAAUGAUAAAUCAGGUGGCAGAGUGUUUUGAAAAUUCUUUGAAGAAUGUGAGCUACACCUUCUACCAUGAAGCUUCCAAGGAUGUAUAUUUAAAUUCAGCUGAAUUCUACAUUUCUCUGGAUGGCUAAGAACAGAUAUUUACUAUAUAAAUCAAAAACAAAAAAAAUAAUGAAGCCUAUCUGUUUAAAAGAUUGACAGUGAAGUAUUUUCAUGGACUGAAAUGUCACAAAUCCAAUUAAGUUGAUUGAUACGGAGAUGACAAGUACCUGUUUCUGGUAUGUCUAGAGAUACUCACAGUCACUGAUUUAGUCAGUACAGAGGAUCAGCACAGACCAUUAAGAAGCCCCUCCAUGGCUGGCUUACGUUGUGCCUAAAUUUUUACUUUCCUGUAUCCAAUGGUGCUAACAUUGAGCAGACUGAAAAUUCUGCUGGAAAAUCAUAGAUUUAAGAUGACCAAUCAGUGAUUUACCCAGUUCCUAGAAGUCCACAGGUAAAAGUUAUUUUUGAUUCCUUUACUUGUAAUACUGCAUUUCUUACAGCUCUUGCCUUAAUAUGGGUCUGUUUGAUUCAUUUUCACUUCAUACUCCCACAAUAGCAAAUUUCACAAAGUUAAUUUACCCUUAAUGCAUUAUCCCACAAAUGAUGCCAGUCAAUCCAUUUUAGUGGACAUGCAGAUAUUAGAUAAAACAUUUCUGUAUUAGAACUCUUAUUUUAUCAUUUAUUGAGAAUGUUAUUCUUCUAGCUGAGUUAACAUUUUUAUCAAAGACUCAGAUACCUUCCUAUUGUUUCCUGGCGAAACUGAGAGGAAGGGCUGGCCAGGUUACCACCACAGUUGGCAUUACUCAUCAUUUGUUAUAGGUAUCCCACCAAGUUCAUGUCAAAAGAGUAACUUGUACAUUUUGAAACUAUAAAAUCCCUGAUCUGAUACAGCUUUUCUUUAUGCUGCUUUCAAUCUACCGAACAUGUCAUGACUGUAAAAUUACAUGUAUUUUAUCUAAAAAACAAAAGCAAAUAUGAAAAUGUUGUCAUGCACUUACAGUGAAUAUUCUCUAAUUAGAAAUUAAUUUGGUUUGAUUUAAUUAACAGUGGAUGCACAUGCACUAUACAGAAAAGCAAUACUGUUUCCUUAAAAACCUUCUCAGGCUUCAGAAUCCUUUAAAGAUAACUAGACAUUGCAGUUUACUGAGGGAAAAGGUUAGUCAUCUUUAAACAUCUUUGUUGGAGAAUUACACAGCACAAACACAAGCACAUUUCUGCCUAGUAUAGUAACUUCUUCAUUUCUUAAAAGUUUAAAGAUACACGUUUGCUAUUUCAAGUCCAUCAUUCUCUGGCCAUUGGGACAAAACUUAUUAAUGAAGCCCUCACAGAGCUAUAAAAACCUUUGUUCUGAUACAAGAUUAGAUGGCCAACCUUGUCUUGACCUGACAUCUUUAAUCAGGUAAGUGGAUGUGAGUAGGAACACUUUUAGUGUACUACACCUCACUGUAUCAGCAGAAACUGGUAAAACAUAAUUUGAAAGUACUAGAGGCAAGAAGCAAUUAUGAGGCUUAAAGUACUGUGAUCAAAUUGUUACUCCAUACAAACUCCCAAUCAUGCUCUCCAUCUAAACUGUCUCAAAGCAGCUGAGAAAACCUUCAACAGUCAUUACUCUUCAAAAUGUUUAUCCAAUGAUCAAA